rnacentral:sRNA from 1 species
UCAAGAAUUCACAACAAUGCCGCGAUCGG